GUGAACGCUGGCGGUAGGCCUAACACAUGCAAGUCGAACGGCAGCACAGUAAGAGCUUGCUCUUCCGGGUGGCGAGUGGCGGACGGGUGAGGAAUACAUCGGAAUCUACUUUUUCGUGGGGGAUAACGUAGGGAAACUUACGCUAAUACCGCAUACGACCUACGGGUGAAAGCAGGGGAUCUUCGGACCUUGCGCGAUUGAAUGAGCCGAUGUCGGAUUAGCUAGUUGGCGGGGUAAAGGCCCACCAAGGCGACGAUCCGUAGCUGGUCUGAGAGGAUGAACAGCCACACUGGAACUGAGACACGGUCCAGACUCCUACGGGAGGCAGCAGUGGGGAAUAUUGGACAAUGGGCGCAAGCCUGAUCCAGCCAUACCGCGUGGGUGAAGAAGGCCUUCGGGUUGUAAAGCCCUUUUGUUGGGAAAGAAAAGCAGCAGGUUAAUACCCCGCUGUUCUGACGGUACCCAAAGAAUAAGCACCGGCUAACUUCGUG
rnacentral:rRNA from 1 species